CGUACACUCCUACGGGAGGCAGCAGUGGGGAAUAUUGGACAAUGGGCGCAAGCCUGAUCCAGCCAUGCCGCGUGAGUGAUGAAGGCCCUAGGGUUGUAAAGCUCUUUCACCGGUGAAGAUAAUGACGGUAACCGGAGAAGAAGCCCCGGCUAACUUCGUGCCAGCAGCCGCGGUAAUACGAAGGGGGCUAGCGUUGUUCGGAUUUACUGGGCGUAAAGCGCACGUAGGCGGACUAUUAAGUCAGGGGUGAAAUCCCGGGGCUCAACCCCGGAACUGCCUUUGAUACUGGUAGUCUUGAGUUCGAGAGAGGUGAGUGGAAUUCCGAGUGUAGAGGUGAAAUUCGUAGAUAUUCGGAGGAACACCAGUGGCGAAGGCGGCUCACUGGCUCGAUACUGACGCUGAGGUGCGAAAGCGUGGGGAGCAAACAGGAUUAGAAACCCCUGUAGUCCCA
rnacentral:rRNA from 1 species